GAUGAACGCUGGCGGCGUGCCUAAUACAUGCAAGUCGAGCGAACAGAUGAGGAGCUUGCUCCUCUGACGUUAGCGGCGGACGGGUGAGUAACACGUGGAUAACCUACCUAUAAGACUGGGAUAACUUCGGGAAACCGGCGCUAAUACCGGAUAAUAUAUUGAACCGCAUGGUUCAAUAGUGAAAGACGGUUUUGCUGUCACUUAUAGAUGGAUCCGCGCCGCAUUAGCUAGUUGGUAAGGUAACGGCUUACCAAGGCAACGAUGCGUAGCCGACCUGAGAGGGGGAUCGGCCACACGGGAACUGAGACACGGUCCGGACUCCUACGGGAGGCAACAGUAGGGAAUCUUGCGCAAUGGGCGAAAACCUGACGGAGCAACGCCGCGUGAGUGAUGAAGGUCUUCGGAUCGUAAAACUCUGUUAUUAGGGAAGAACAAAUGUGUAAGUAACUAUGCACGUCUUGACGGUACCUAAUCAGAAAGCCAGGGCUAACUACGUG
rnacentral:rRNA from 1 species